GAAGACUGCCUCGGAUAACGGGGAGGAAGGUGGGGAUGACGUCAAGUCCGCAUGCUCCUUACGUCUAGGGCUACACACGUCCUACAAUGGGGUCGACAAUGGGAUGCAAUAUCGCAAGAUGGAGCCAAUCCCCAAACGGCCUCUCAGUUCGGAUUGUAGUCUGCAACUCGACUACAUGAAGUUGGAAUCGCUAGUAAUGGCAGAUCAGCAUGCUGCCGUGAAUACGUUCCCGGGUCUU
rnacentral:rRNA from 1 species